UACGGAGGGUGCGAGCGUUGUCCGGAUUUAUUGGGUUUAAAGGGUGCGUAGGCGGCCGAUUAAGUCAGCGGUGAAAGUUUUGGGCUCAACCCAGAAAUUGCCAUUGAUACUGGUCGGCUUGAGUAUUGCAGGGGUACAUGGAAUUGAUGGUGUAGCUGUGAAAUGCAUAGAUACCAUCAGGAACACCGAUAGCGAAGGCAUUGUACUGGGCGACCACUGACGCUGAUGCACGAGAGCAUGGGGAGCGAACAGG
rnacentral:rRNA from 1 species